rnacentral:lncRNA from 1 species
UGGUCAUGGACUCAUGGUAGCUCUGCAAUCUGUAAAUUACUCUCACUGGUUCGUUACGUACGUACUACUUCCACAUAAAACAGUUUGUUACAUAUAUCAAUCACACCCCUUUAUCAUUGUCGAUCAAAAAUAUCGCAUGCACUGACCAUUCUCAAACCGUUGCUCAAAUUUUAUAGUCUCAUAAUUAAUUGUUUAUUUGUUUGAUGCAAACGGAGAAAACGAGUAUAUUGUCUGCAUUGAACGGUUGAUCUAAACGCAUAUGACCAUAUAUAUCAACUUACAUCAUGUAAGUAAUUUUUAUAUUUUUCUUUUCUUUUUGGAAUAAAGAUGCAAGUAUUUUUCAUCAAGGAAUUGAAGCUAGCUUUUUACAUAUAUCCCAUGAACGUAGACUAACCUUUCUAGACUUUCUAUUCUUUAUCACUUAACGACCGCAAAGCAUUACAUUAAUUAGUCAUUGUUAGUGCAUAUAUUGGCCGGUGAGAAAGAUGGAGAUGUCAUUGUUGCCUGAUAUAUAUAUCCCUACUGUUACACCCCUAAAGCUUCAUAGGCGGCAAAGGCGCGUGGCAUGUGUUGUCUUUGCACCAUGUCGGGACGCAUGAAGGCACAAGCAAGGACAAGCUCUAGUAGGAUGGGAAAGUUGGUAUGCGGCAACAAACCAAGCCAAAGGAAGGAAGGCGGCAUGGACCCCAAAGGCUCGGCAGGGUGCAGUGUCGGGUGCAUGAUAAGUGUGCUCGGCAGGGUGCGCGCGGAUGCACUGUAGGGUGCAUACGUGUGCAUGGCGGUUACAAGCGGUUGACAAAGCAAGUUAGUGGGAAGUUAUCUCCACAAAGCAUGCAAGUUAGUGGGCGGUUACCUAGCACCAAAAGUGGGGAAGUUGGCAAGGAAGUUAUGCAUAUCUUGGUGGUUAUCUAUAAGGUAGUUAUUAAUCCUAUAAUAGUGGGAGAUGUCCAUUACUCCUAAAAAUAAGGCAUGAAUGCCAUAACACCUAAGGGAAGUUGGGUUGUAACUUCAAAGUAAGUAGGCUUAUAAAUAGGACAUAGCCCAUAGUAGAAAGACUUGGAUUCGGACUUUGCCUAAUGAGACUUGGCAAGCCAAAUACGAGUUCCCAUGUAAUAGUAGUUUGUUUAUCAAUGAAAAAGGAAUGUCUAGUUCCACAAACUAUGUGUGCAUGAGAGAAUAGAGAAUCCCAACACUUGUGUGAAAGGACGUAGACACUUGUGUGAAAAGAUUGCAAUUUAGAAGAAGAAGGUACCAAAGUUGAUGUGUGCACACGAAAGAGCAGACUUGGCUUGAUAAGGCCCUCGCCUACCAGAACCAAGCCGUUGUAUGGGGAGAUAGAUUUGGCUGGUCGAAGUUCAGAAGGAACCUAGACGCCAUCACGGAGCCUCGCAUAUUGUUGCAAGAACAAAAGAGUUAAGAAAAAUUCCGCUGCGUACUAAAGGCCCGUGACAGUUGGUAUCAGAGCUACAAUUGCUCGGUACUUUGCCACCUUUUCGGUUCGGGUGUGCAGUGCUUGAUGUGAAGUAUAGGUGGAGGUCGAACGUACGAAAGACACAAGCACGAGUGAAAGUAGGGGCCGACACUCCAAAGUCCAUUUUCAAGGACACUAAAAGGUGUCGUUUGACGCACCCAAGUGCUAGUAACUGGCUGAAGUAAGCACUUGUGAAAAGCUUAAAGAAAGAGGUCAAAGAACCAUCCGAUCAAGUCCACUUUCAAGGACACAACGGGCGCAUGUGAGGCAAGGUUGCAUUGCGGACCCAAGAGAGAGUUGCAGAAAAGGUGCGGAUUGAAGCACCGGGUGCACAUUUAAAGCACUUACGAGAAGAGAAGGGAGUCGCUUGAUACUCGGUCAAAGACAAGGGAGAAGAAGUCUAAAGCUUUAGCAGAUGACCGGCGACACAUUAAAAGACCGCAUUGCACGAGUCGAGGAUUUUCUCAGCUACCCAACAAGUGAUGGAGUGAUAUGUCUCUCACUACAAGUUGAUGAAUUGAAGAAUGAAACAAGAAGGAUGCGAGAAGCAUUCACGGUGCAUGUUACUGAGGCGGAGACCAAGUUCCACGCAUGAUACAAGACCUAAAUGCUUUAUCGAACGCGGUAAAGGCAAGAUUGACGGACAUAGAAGAGAACAUGGCAUUGGUGAAAAGCGCAACAGCCAAUGCCGGACUCAACAUGGAGGGCGGCAAUAUUCAAAAAAUUAGAGUCCCGGAGCCUAAGAUGUUCAAUGGAGAAAGGAAUGCCAAAGGCUUGGAGAAUUUUAUAUGGGACAACGAGCAAUACUUCAAAACUGCUCGCAUAGCGGAAGGGGAGAAAGUCUCAAUGGCCUCAAUGUACCUAGAAGGAGAUGCAAAGUUAUGGUGGAGAACGAGAGUGCAAGACGCGGAGGAGAAUGAAGAUGAGCACCUAUUUGAAAAUUGGGAUGCUCUAAAGAGAGAAUUAAGGAGUCAGUUUAUGCCUUGCAACUCGGCAUGGAUGGCUCGUGAAGCAUUAAAGAAUCUAAGAAUGGAUUCCUCCAUAAGAGAGUACGUCAAGGAGUUUUGUUCCUUGAUGCUUGACAUCCACAACAUGGCAGAAGAAGACAAGCUAUUUAGCUUCAUGGCGGGAUUACAACCUUGGGCAAAACAAGAACUACGAAGGCAAAACGUUGGGGAUUUGCACUCUGCACUAGCCUUAUCCGAAAGGUUGGUGGAUUUUCGGACAAGCCCUGCAUAUUCAGACAAGAGGAGAGAGGCAAGCAAGAAAUUCGGAGUUGACCCAUUCCAAGAGCGUGGCAAGGGGCUAGAAAGUGGGAGAGGUUGUUACAAAACUGCCCACUCACCCACUACUUCCACAAUGAGCAAAUAUAGGGUCACUACCCAUGAUCUUCCACACAACAAGGGGUUUACUUCAUGCUUUAUAUGCAAUGGACCUCAUUUUGCGAAAAAUUGCAGCCAAAAGCAAGCAUUGAGUGCUCUAGUCUCAAUUGCAAACAACAUCAAAGAGAAAGAAACACAAGAAGAUUCGGAGGCAAUCAUGAGUUCGAUGGUGCUACUCAACACGUUGUCAUUGGAGGGUGAGAUGAAGCAUGCAGAUCUUGAGGUCUAUGUUGAUGUAUUUGCCUAUCACUAUGGGCACUACACCAUCAUGUCCUCACUUGUCAUUGAAGGGGACAUCCUUUUCAUUGACGAGAUGAUGCAAUUUGACGAUCCACUACUACCAACCUACACACUUGAGGAGGCGGAAGCUAUUGCGGCAGCCAAGACCUUGAAGAUGUGGGAAGAGCAUUUGAAGGGAAGGAAAUUCGAGCUAUACACUAAGGUUUGGAGAGAUAUGCUCACCUUGAGCGUGUUUCCUCCUUUCCGAAGGUGGAGUGCACUUUAUGAGGAGACCAAGCAAGUCAUGAAGGACUAUGAGUAUGAAUGGGUGAUGAAGAGUGGAAUACAUGAGCAAAUGAAGAAAGAAGACACAAAUCUGCCGGAUGUCAUCGUCAUAAGUGAAGACGAAGAAGAAGAGAGUCUCGAGAAGGAGACAAGCUUGGAAACCAACACUUGGACCGAGCAUAAGAAGAAUGAGCAAGCAGCAAACUGGCCUGCAUGGGGAGAGCAAGAAAAGAUGAACGAGGAGUCGUUAUUCGACAUCCUUGGUAAAAAAAAUCACGGCAAUCAGCCGAGGCUCAAGUAGGGAGAGAAGAUGACGUGGGAGGAGUUCACAAAGGCAUUAAAAGUUUAUGAUGCUACCAAAGGCAGCAAUGAUGCAGCCAAGUGGGAGAAAGCAGCGGGCAACAAGCAAGAAGAUGAAGUACAAGACCCGUUGGCAACGAGGGCGCCACCAAACUCAAAAGGGGGAGGUUUGUCACACCCCUAAAGCUUCAUAGGUGGCAAAGACGCUCGGCAUGAGUUGUCUUUGCAUCAUGUCGGGACGCAUGAAGGCACAAGCAAGGACAAGCUCUAGUAGGAUGGGAAAGUUGGUAUGCGACAACAAACCAAGACAAAGGAAGGAAGGUGGCAUGGACCCCAAAGGCUCGGCAGGGUGCAGUGUCGGGUGCAUGAUAAGUGUGCUCGGCAGGGUGCAAUGUUGGGUGCGGCAGGAUACAUGAAAAGGUGCACUGCUGGGCGCAUGUCAAGUGUGCUCGGCAGGGUGCUACGAAGGUGCGAGAAGGGUGCGAGAAAGGUGCGCUGCAGGGUGCUCGGCAAGGUGCGCGGCAGGGUGCGCGUGGAUGCACUGUAGGGUGCAUACGUGUGCAUGGCGGUUACAAGCGGUUGACAAAGCAAGUUAGUGGGAAGUUAUCUCCACAAAGCAUGCAAGUUAGUGGGCGGUUACCUAGCACCAAAAGUGGGGAAGUUGACAAGGAAGUUAUGCAUAUCUUGGUGGUUAUCUAUAAGGUAGUUAUUAAUCCUAUAAUAGUGGGAGAUGUCUACUACUCCUAAAAAUAAGGCAUGAAUGCCAUAACACCUAAGGGAAGUUGGGUUGUAACUUCCAAGUAAGUAGGCUUAUAAAUAGGACAUAGCCCAUAGUAGAAAGACUUGGAUUCGAACUUUGCCUAAUGAGACUUGACAAGCCAAAUACGAGUUCCCAUGUAAUAGUAGUUUGUUUAUCAAUGAAAAAGGAAUGUCUAGUUCCAUAAACUAUGUGUGCAUGAGAGAAUAGAGAAUCCCAACACUUGUGAGAAAGGAUGUAGACACUUGUGUGAAAAGAUUGCAAUCUAGAAGAAGAAGGUACCAAAGUUGAUGUGUGCACACGAAAGUGCAGACCUGGCUUGAUAAGGAUCUCGUUUACCAGAACCAAGGCGUUGUAUGGGGAGAUAGAUUUGGUUGGUCGAAGUUCAGAAGGAACCUAGACGCCAUCACGGAGCCUCGUAUAUUGUUGCAAGAACAAAAUAGUUGAGAAAAAUUCCGUUGCAUACUAAAGGCCCGUGACACCUACCAUGUCUGCAGGUUUGAAUCACUCUGAACUUAAUUAGUUUCAGACGGCAGGGGCUUUUGAUUACUCUAUUUCACGAACUUGGACUAUCUUUGUUUUUCUUUUUUCGGAGAAAGUCUCAAACUCUCAAUAGGUAGCUCCUCAUCUUUCUCUAUCCUCACCUAAAACUACCAUAUCAUUCAUAGCUUAUCAAACCCACAAUCAAUCACAUAAUUACCAUUUAACAUAAUUAGUGAACUUCAUAUUCAAUUUUUGAAUGAUCUGUUACACACAUCACCAAGAAUUAUUGAGGGCUUUUAUUCAUUUAGGAUGCAAAUCAAUAACACAGUAAAAGAACUGUCACGGUCACCCUUUUUCAUGGAUUCAUUACGUACUAUGAUUUUGUUUUUGAACAAAGCCAAUCAUGUGAAAUAGUCUCUACUUUGGAAUGAUUUUAUGCAUAAGCAAACACAUAUUUCAUUGAUAUGGGGUGCACAUAUAAUCAUUUUUUGAUCUUUCCAGCAAUAGAACAUAGAUACUCCAUUUCUUUUGGGUUUUAAG